UGGGUUUUGUGUGUGUCUGUGUGUGUGUGUGUGUCUGUGUGUGUGUGUGUGUGUGUGUGUGUGUGUGUGAGUGUGAAUUUGUCUCAUGCCUAUACAUACUAUCGUGGUGACCAAAGGAAGAUACUUCCUAUCUUUUGCCCUGAGAUAGGCCCUGAUACUAAACCUAAAAGUUGAUAUUUUGUCUAGGCUUCCUGGCCAGUGUGCACAUGAGAUCUUCCUCUCUCUAUUCCUCAUUGCUAGGCUUACACACAUGUGCAACUAUGCUUUGUUUUCACAUGGGUCCUUGGUAUAAGAACUCAGAUGCCCCAUGCUUAUGCAGCAAGGUCCCUUACGCGCUGAGCUUCCUGCCCUGGUCAUAGGUGUAUCCCUCAGUCACCCUUUACGUUUCUCCCCAGACAGUGUCUCACUGAACCUGCAUCUCACCGAAUGAGCUAGACUGGCCAUCAAGCCCUGGGGGUCCUCCUGCUUCUGUCUCUGCAGUUCUGGGAUAACAUACACAGCUCCAUCACCAACACUGGAGUUCUCUUUUGGAUACACAGGCUGACCUGCAAGUCUCCAGGAUGCAUCUGUCUCUGCCUUCUCCCUCUUCCCAGUGCUGAGAUUAGAGAUGCUUACUACCACAACAGGGCUCUGAUGUGGUGCUGGUGAUGCCUCUUCUGAUCCUCAUGCCUGUAAAGUGAUCAUUGUGCCCAUUGUACCCAUGUACAUGACCAACCCUGCACUGAGACAUCUUUCUGGCCUCCAUUAUUAUUUCCAACAUCAUGUGGCAGAGGUAUCUGAGAUGCCUAAAAGGUUAACCAUGAAGGCCCCUUCCCCAGUGCUAUUGAAGGGAAGGGUCCCUAAAUGAUCAUCUAAAACCAAUCUUUUGAUGCUCCCACACAGGAGCGAGACCACUGUGAAAGAGCCUUGGCUCAGAUAAUGCUGCAUUGUCAAGGGCCCUGUCAUUUCUGUAACUUUUUCUGGUCUGUUAGCCACAGGAUCUCUCUUCAUCCCAAUGACUUUGAUGAUUUUAGUAAAGGGCAGAUGGCUGGUGUCAGCUGAGGAGAAAGAGUGCUGCCUGCUACAGCAUGGACACAGCCUUGAAAACACACCCAAGGAAAGCUGAGAAGGCCACUGUACCCCUAAUAGGUCUCUGGUAAGCCAUGGGCAUCCAUUCAUUCAGCCCCAUGUGUGAUCAGAGGCAAGCUGCUCAGGCUGUUACUUGAGGCAGAUUAGCAAUGCCAGAGCCACUGAUCUUGAGCUGUUUUGUAAUCAUGGAAGCUGACCUUCAGCCACUGCCAGGCAGUUUGCUAGACACAGUUUGAACAUAGGACCUCUAGGAGGUUAGAAGAUUCUACCCUACAUGUUUGAAUCCAACGCAAUGGCAUCUUCUUAAUGAACAGUGAAGGAUGUGGGUAGAGAAGACAGCAUGAAAGUUUGAACUUUAAAAAUAAGAGUUUAGAGAUGCUGUGUUCCUGGGUGACUGGGGAAGUAUAGGAGUUUGCUAAAAAUCCUUUGGGGAGCAAGAAUUUAGGUGUGCUCUGUCCCUGGACUCUUAUACAGUAGUUUACUAAAAUCUCCUUGGGAGUCUUCGAUGUUAGGAGGUCAUAAUCCAGAUUACAAGAGAGACUUGGAAAUAGGUGUUGCUUGUUUGCCUUUUUUUUUUUUUUUACCAAAUUUUCUUUUUGGUGUAGGCCCUGGAGACUGGGGCAUGUAUAGCUCACUCUUCAGGGGUCUCCAGAGUCUGAGAGAGUGCUGCACAAGUAUUCAAUCUGCUAUAAACAGCUGCGGAGUGAAGGAAUUAAUAAAGCCACUCAGAACUCCAGGUUCCUUUUCUCCUCUGAGCCCUUGCAUGCGUCCUUAUGCAUCGCUGGUGUGAAAUGAACAUUUGAUGAUUAAUUAUACAUCAAAGCCAAAAGAUAUAACAAAUGCCAGCAAACAUUGGCAGGGUGGUGCUGUGAAUUCUCAGACCCCACUUUGUGGGUCUCUGGUUUUCCCUCCCUCCCAGCUCUGUCUCAGUAUGCAUGUACCAUACAUGACAUCGGGAGAGACAAUUCUGUGUGCUUCCUAACCACCCUGAGGACAUACGUUGAAAAGAUAGCCCAUGCCAGUACACUAGUCAUGAAUGUGUUCAGUUGUAGUUCAUUUAAAGUAUCUCCUAUUUUUUUGGGGCCUUCCCAUUAUUUCUAGUUCUCCAUUAUGUGGGGUGCUUCCUGACUUUAGUGAAUCCCUCAUGGUAAUCCUGGCUCUGUGGCUGGUCACUGUAGCUGUCCAGGAACCAAAUUCAUGCUGACUUUGGUGGGAUAGUGUGCCAGUGACAUCGUGGAAGUGAUGUGACUUCUCCUAUUCCUGUGACUAGUCAGUAAAGAGCUUUAAGCAGGAGGAACUGAGUUUGAUCCUCAGAACCCAGCAAAAAAAAA